rnacentral:rRNA from 1 species
GACGAACGCUGGCGGCGUGCUUAACACAUGCAAGUCGAACGGAAAGGCCCUGCUUUUGUGGGGUGCUCGAGUGGCGAACGGGUGAGUAACACGUGAGUAACCUGCCCUUGACUUUGGGAUAACUUCAGGAAACUGGGGCUAAUACCGGAUAGGAGCUCCUGCUGCAUGGUGGGGGUUGGAAAGUUUCGGCGGUUGGGGAUGGACUCGCGGCUUAUCAGCUUGUUGGUGGGGUAGUGGCUUACCAAGGCUUUGACGGGUAGCCGGCCUGAGAGGGUGACCGGCCACAUUGGGACUGAGAUGAGGCCCAGACCCCUACGGGAGGCAGCAGUGGGGAAGAUUGCACAAUGGGCUGAAGCCUGAUGCAGCAACGCCGCGUGCGGGAUGACGGCCUUCGGGUUGUAAACCGCUUUCGCCUGUGACGAAGCGUGAGUGACGGUAAUGGGUAAAGAAGCACCGGCUAACUACGUG